rnacentral:pre_miRNA from 1 species
UGCCAAUUUUCUCCGCGGUGAUACUCCAAUGCGACGAUUAUCACCGGGUGAAAACUGGUAGA